GUAAUUAUAAUAUUGUUUAUACUAUUAUUUAUAUAAUAUUAUCAGAAAUAACUUAUUUAUUAGUAAAUUUUAUUGAACUUGUUAUUUUAACUAUAGUUAAUAUUACUGUGAAGGAAAUUUUUUAAUUAUAUAUAAGUAGAUUAAAAUAUUGUACCUUUUGUAUCAGGGUUUAUUAAUUUUUGAUUAAUGAUAGUUAAUUUUCCCGAAAUUAAAAGAGAUAUAUUUAAAAUGAAAGUUUAUGUGUUAAAAUAAUUUUUAAUUUAUAUAUAGGGGUUAUAUACUAUUCAAUUUUAUAUAUCUGGUUUCUUAAUAGAUUAAUUUAAUUAAGAUUAUUGUUAGUUACUAUAUAAUUUUAUUUUUUUUAAUUACAAUAAUUAAAUUUAUAGGGGAUAAGCUCUGUAAAUAUAUUAAAACUUUAUUUCUUAUUUAAAGGUUUGUAGGCUUAGUAACAGCCAUCAUUUAUUUCAUUACAGUUAUUUUUUAUUUUAUAUUUAUUUAUAGUUGGUUUAAAUUUUUAUUGAGAUUUUUUAUAUAAUUUUAUUUUAUAGGUAAUAAUGAUAAAAUUAGUAGUUUUGUAAAUUUAGGUGUAAGAACUCGGCAAUAUUUAUUUCCGCCUGUUUAACAAAAACAUGGCCUUUAGAAUAUAAAUUAUAGGUCUAGCCUGCCCAGUGAUUUUAAACGGCCGCAGUAUUUUGACUGUGCGAAGGUAGCAUAAUCAUUUGUCUUUUAAUUGAAGGCUAGGAUGAAUGGUUGGACGAGAAAUAACCUUUUUUAAUUUGAAUUUUAUGAAUUUUAUUUUUGAGUUAGAAAGCUUAAAUUUUAUUGCAAGACGAGAAGACCCUAUAGAAUUUUAUUUAAUCAAUUAUAUCUAUUAUUUGGUAUAUGAAAAUUAGGUUUAACGGAUUUAAUUUUGUUGGGGUGAUAAUGAAAAUUAAUUAACUUUUAUUUUUUAAAAUUCAUUAAUUAAUGCAUUAAUUGAUCCUUUAUUAUGGAUUAUGAGAUUAAAUUACCUUAGGGAUAACAGCGUAAUUUUUUCGGAGAGUUCUUAUCGAUGAACAAAGUUUGCGACCUCGAUGUUGGAUUAAAAUUAGUUUUGGGUGUAGUAGCUUUAAUGACUAAGUCUGUUCGACUUUUAAAAUUUUACAUGAUCUGAGUUCAGACCGGCGUGAGCCAGGUUGGUUUCUAUCUGCAAUUAAUUAAGGUAUGUCUUAGUACGAAAGGACCAGGCAUAGAUAAUAUUUAUAAACUUUUGUGUACAAUUAA
rnacentral:rRNA from 1 species